AUGCGCAAUGGCACGGAUCGCUUCCACUUGACACAGAACACUUUUGGGGCGGAAUUUUCCCAAAGGCCGAUAGGGCCAUCGAAUUGGAAGGGGACCCCAGAGGUCAUCCAGUUCAGACCCCGAUUCAGCCACCAUCAAAGCCCCCCCAAGAGAUGGCCAGGCAGCCCCUGCUUCUGCGAUUUAGAGCAUGACGCGGCGGCAUUCCACGGUUUCCCGGGAGACCGGAAUGCUCCGUUGACCGCCCUGUGGCUUCUCCGGACGCGAGAGCGGUCAGGCCCAGCCAUGUCUUCCCUGCAAAGCGAGAGCCGGGAGCCCAUGCGGAGGAGCCACCGGCGGGCCCCGCUCAUGCACCGCAUCAUGUGGCGCAUCCACGAGCAGUGGCAGCUCCUGGGCUUCUUCGAGAUCAACCGCGACCACGAGUUCUACCCGCUGACCUGCAUGCUCAAGCAAGGCCUCCGGGCCUCCCUCCAGCACGCCAUGGACAACUGGUCAUACCUGGUGAGGGUUGCGCCUGGCCUGGAAGCGUCAUGGCCUUUUUAGCUGCCGCGUCACACGUGUUCAGAGAGGAUUUGAUGCUGGUGUGUAGGCAUGUCUGUAUGCAGGGCUCGGAUGCCACCACAAGAGGGCAGCAUAGAGAUCGGAAAGAUUGGAUUUGGCCUCUGUUUGUAUGUAUGCAGGACUCGGAUGCAACCACAAGAGGGCAGCAUGUAGAUAGAGAUUUUGGCCUCUAGGUAUGUAUGUAUAUAUGUAUGUAUGUAUGUAUGCAUGCAGGGCGCGGAUGCCACCAGAAGAGGGCAGCAUGUAGAUAGAGAUUUUGGCCCCUAGGUAUGUAUGUAUGUAUGUACGUAUGCAUGUAUGCAGGGCGCUGAUGCCACCAGAAGAGGGCAGCAUGUAGAUAGAGAUUUUGGCCUCUAGGUAUGUAUGUAUGUAUGUACGUAUGCAUGUAUGCAGGGCGCUGAUGCCACCAGAAGAGGGCAGCAUGUAGAUAGAGAUUUUGGCCUCUAGGUAUGUAUGUAUGUAUGUACGUAUGCAUGUAUGCAGGGCGCUGAUGCCACCAGAAGAGGGCAGCAUGUAGAUAGAGAUUUUGGCCUCUAGGUAUGUAUGUAUGUAUGUAUGUAUGUAUGCAUGCAGGGCGCGGAUGCCACCAGAAGAGGGCAGCAUGUAGAUAGAGAUUUUGGCCCCUAGGUAUGUAUGUAUGUAUGUAUGUAUGUAUGUAUGCAUGCUGGGCGCGGAUGCCACCAGAAGAGGGCAGCAUGUAGAUAGAGAUUUUGGC
rnacentral:lncRNA from 11 species